rnacentral:rRNA from 1 species
CGGACCGGCGCACGGGUGAGUAACGCGUAUGCAACUUACCUAUCAGAGGGGGAUAGCCCAGCGAAAGUCGGAUUAAUACCCCAUAAAACAGGGGUCCCGCAUGGGAAUAUUUGUUAAAGAUUCAUCGCUGAUAGAUAGGCAUGCGUUCCAUUAGGCAGUUGGCGGGGUAACGGCCCACCAAACCGACGAUGGAUAGGGGUUCUGAGAGGAAGGUCCCCCACAUUGGUACUGAGACACGGACCAA